GAUGAACGCUGGCGGCGUGCCUAAUACAUGCAAGUCGAGCGAACGGACGAGAAGCUUGCUUCUCUGAUGUUAGCGGCGGACGGGUGAGUAACACGUGGAUAACCUACCUAUAAGACUGGGAUAACUUCGGGAAACCGGAGCUAAUACCGGAUGAUAUUUUGAACCGCAUGGUUCAAAAGUGAAAGACGGUCUUGCUGUCACUUAUAGAUGGAUCCGCGCUGCAUUAGCUAGUUGGUAAGGUAACGGCUUACCAAGGCAACGAUGCAUAGCCGACCUGAGAGGGUGAUCGGCCACACUGGAACUGAGACACGGUCCAGACCCCUACGGGAGGCAGCAGUAGGGAAUCUUCCGCAAUGGGCGAAAGCCUGACGGAGCAACGCCGCGUGAGUGAUGAAGGUCUUCGGAUCGUAAAACUCUGUUAUUAGGGAAGAACAUAUGUGUAAGUAACUGUGCACAUCUUGACGGUACCUAAUCAGAAAGCCACGGCUAACUACGUGCCAGCAGCCGCGGUAAUACGUAGGUGGCAAGCGUUAUCCGGAAUUAUUGGGCGUAAAGCGCGCGUAGGCGGUUUUUUAAGUCUGAUGUGAAAGCCCACGGCUCAACCGUGGAGGGUCAUUGGAAACUGGAAAACUUGAGUGCAGAAGAGGAAAGUGGAAUUCCAUGUGUAGCGGUGAAAUGCGCAGAGAUAUGGAGGAACACCAGUGGCGAAGGCGACUUUCUGGUCUGUAACUGACGCUGAUGUGCGAAAGCGUGGGGAUCAAACAGGAUUAGAUACCCUGGUAGUCCACGCCGUAAACGAUGAGUGCUAAGUGUUAGGGGGUUUCCGCCCCUUAGUGCUGCAGCUAACGCAUUAAGCACUCCGCCUGGGGAGUACGACCGCAAGGUUGAAACUCAAAGGAAUUGACGGGGACCCGCACAAGCGGUGGAGCAUGUGGUUUAAUUCGAAGCAACGCGAAGAACCUUACCAAAUCUUGACAUCCUUUGACAACUCUAGAGAUAGAGCCUUCCCCUUCGGGGGACAAAGUGACAGGUGGUGCAUGGUUGUCGUCAGCUCGUGUCGUGAGAUGUUGGGUUAAGUCCCGCAACGAGCGCAACCCUUAAGCUUAGUUGCCAUCAUUAAGUUGGGCACUCUAAGUUGACUGCCGGUGACAAACCGGAGGAAGGUGGGGAUGACGUCAAAUCAUCAUGCCCCUUAUGAUUUGGGCUACACACGUGCUACAAUGGACAAUACAAAGGGCAGCGAAACCGCGAGGUCAAGCAAAUCCCAUAAAGUUGUUCUCAGUUCGGAUUGUAGUCUGCAACUCGACUACAUGAAGCUGGAAUCGCUAGUAAUCGUAGAUCAGCAUGCUACGGUGAAUACGUUCCCGGGUCU
rnacentral:rRNA from 1 species